GACGAACGCUGGCGGCGUGCCUAAUACAUGCAAGUUGAGCGAUGAAGAUUGGUGCUUGCACCAAUUUGAAGAGCAGCGAACGGGUGAGUAACGCGUGGGGAAUCUGCCUUUGAGCGGGGGACAACAUUUGGAAACGAAUGCUAAUACCGCAUAACAACUUUAAACAUAAGUUUUAAGUUUGAAAGAUGCAAUUGCAUCACUCAAAGAUGAUCCCGCGUUGUAUUAGCUAGUUGGUGAGGUAAAGACUCACCAAGGCGAUGAUACAUAGCCGACCUGAGAGGGUGAUCGGCCACAUUGGGACUGAGACACGGCCCAAACUCCUACGGGAGGCAGCAGUAGGGAAUCUUCGGCAAUGGACGAAAGUCUGACCGAGCAACGCCGCGUGAGUGAAGAAGGUUUUCGGAUCGUAAAACUCUGUUGGUAGAGAAGAACGUUGGUGAGAGUGGAAAGCUCAUCAAGUGACGGUAACUACCCAGAAAGGGACGGCUAACUACGUG
rnacentral:rRNA from 1 species